rnacentral:rRNA from 1 species
AACGAACGCUGGCGGCAUGCCUAACACAUGCCAGUCGAACGAGACCUUCGGGUCUAGUGGCGCACGGGUGCGUAACGCGUGGGAACCUGCCCUUAGGUUCGGAAUAACUCCCCGAAAGGGGUGCUAAUACCGGAUAAUGUCUUCGGACCAAAGAUUUAUCGCCUUAGGAUGGGCCCGCGUUGGAUUAGCUAGUUGGUAGGGUAAAAGCCUACCAAGGCGACGAUCCAUAGCUGGUCUGAGAGGAUGAUCAGCCACACUGGGACUGAGACACGGCCCAGACUCCUACGGGAGGCAGCAGUGGGGAAUAUUGGACAAUGGGCGAAAGCCUGAUCCAGCAAUGCCGCGUGAGUGAUGAAGGCCUUAGGGUUGUAAAGCUCUUUUACCCGGGAUGAUAAUGACAGUACCGGGAGAAUAAGCUCCGGCUAACUCCGUG